AGGAACAAUGAUAAACAAGUGAACUGAUGGUUUAAAACUACCAAGAUGUGAAGUAAUGAACUAAAGAGUAACAUGAAGUCAGACAAUACAACUUGAGGUGUCAGAAUUUGUGCAAAAUUUUGUUAUUUGCAGAUAUAUGGAUGGAUUUUGUCAAAAUAUGAACUGAAACACUGGGAUAAAAUUAUGGUUUUUUUUUCGUAUAAAAGAUCCGGUUGUGUUCCAUAAAUGUAUUUCUAAUAAUGAAUUUAAGAAUUAAAAUCUAUAUUUAUUUACUGAGUUUAUUGCUGC
rnacentral:lncRNA from 1 species